AUACUUCGGCAGCAUAUAUACUAACAUUGGAACAACACAGAGAAGAUUAGCAUGGGCCCCUGUGAAAGGAUAACAUACAAAUUUGCGUAGACUUCCAGCUUUGG